CCCUCGAUAGCUCAGUUGGCAGAGUGGAGGACUGUAGAUGUUACAACGGUGAUCCUUAGGUCCCUGGUUCAAAUUCGUCUCGAAGGA
rnacentral:tRNA from 1 species